rnacentral:rRNA from 1 species
CCCGUCACACCAUGGAAGUUGAUUGCUCCAGAAGUGGCUGAGCUAACCCGCAAGGGAGGCAGGUCCCCAAGGAGUGAUCGGUAACUGGGGUG